GGAUCCAGACUUUGAUCAUGGCUCAGGAUGAACGCUAGCGGCAGGCUUAACACAUGCAAGUCGAGGGGCAGCGCGGGGCGGCAACGUCCUGGCGGCGACCGGCGGAAGGGUGCGUAACGCGUGAGCGACAUGCCCGUUGCCCGGGGACAACCGGUGGAAACGCCGACUAAUCCCCGAUGGGACGGAGGCCCUCAUGGGUCUCUGUUGAAAGUUACGGCGGCGACGGAUUGGCUCGCGUCCGAUUAGCUUGUUGGCGGGGUAACGGCCCACCAAGGCUACGAUCGGUAGGGGUUCUGAGAGGAAGGUCCCCCACAAUGGAACUGAGACACGGUCCAUACUCCUACGGGAGGCAGCAGUGAGGAAUAUUGGUCAAUGGGCGGAAGCCUGAACCAGCCAUGCCGCGUGCGGGAAGGAGGCCCUAUGGGCUGUGAACCGCUUUUGCCUGGGGGCAAUAAGGGCGUCGCGCACGUCCGAUGAGAGUACCAGGGGAAUAAGCAUCGGCUAACUCCGUGCCAGCAGCCGCGGUAAUACGGGGGAUGCGAGCGUUAUCCGGAUUCAUUGGGUUUAAAGGGUGCGUAGGCUGUGCGUCAAGUCAGGGGUGAAAUUCCGGGGCUCAACUCCGGGGCUGCCCUUGAUACUGUCGCGCUGGAGUGCGGAUGCCGCCGGAG
rnacentral:rRNA from 1 species